CGCAUCUCCAACUCAGUAUAGUGUUGAGUUUACGCCCGUCAAGACGGUGAAUGGAAGAAUUUCGGAAAGCGAACACAAAAAGUUAUCACAAAAAAUAUCCGGGUAGAAAAUAGCAUUACACAGCGAAAGCACAAAAACAAAGCGGUACUCGUACUGCAACAACUAAAAGUGAAGAGCAACAACAACGCAAAGAAAAUUACUAUGAAAAACGUAAAUUGUAUGAAGUUACUGUGUAAAAUUGGUGUAACGAAAAUUUAUUUAUGUAGAAUAACUAGUUAAAGCGUUCAAGUGCCAAAAAGUAUGCAGUGAAAAUAUUGAGUAAAACGAGUAGUGUGCUGACGUUUGGAAAAGUUUCGCCGUUAAUGCUCGUCUAAAUGGGUGUCAAGAGCUAGGCAAAACUGUUGUAAUUUAGCCGGUUAAACUUUGCGCUAUGCCUGUCAAUGUGACUGACACAAUAGCAAGUGUUGCAUACUUUUAGGCUAUUGUAGCGAAAAUUGUUAGCUAAGCGAAUUACUUCCUUCGGGUAUCAAAUAUCACCCGCUGCGUUGGAAGUUUUGCAGUUAACAGUGAUAUAAUUGAAUUUUCGAUUGCUUGUCUCACUUUAAUGUAUUUGUGAGUUAUGUGUAUGUGUAUACGAAAGGUCAAAAUAAAAAAAAAUAUAUAUUGAAUUGGAAAAAAUACUUAAAAAUAUAGCAAUAAAUGUAAAAAACAGCGCAAGUGUCUACAAAGAACAGUUAUUUAAUAAAUAUUUGUGCUUUUACAGCCAUAUGCGCCUAAGGCUAUACUACUAAAACUGCGUUGGUUUGGUUUUACAGCUGCAUUGCUUACUGUUGCAGCAUUAGCGUUUUAACGUUUGACAGUUUUUUUCAUGGAUAGCAAUGUGAGCGAUAUUUGUGGUGCAUGAGUGCAGAUUAAAUACAAAAAUUACUAAUUCCCGGACUGGUAAUAAAUCAGCUGCUUUUAAUAAGAUACACUGGCAGUGGCAGAUAGCCAAGGGCGCGGAGAAAGCAGCAACAAACAAACCUAAGAGCAAAUAACAACAGCAACAACAACAAGAACCAAACAUAAAAUACCAUCGUGAUGGCAUGUCUACGAAAACAACAAACACAAGCAACAACACACAGUGACACGUCGUAAUGAUGUUGCUUUAUGCCAAAACAAGCGCAAGCAACCACAACAACAACAAUAAUAACAACAACAGCAGCCGCAGUAAACACUACCAGAUAACAAGCGACAUUAAAAACCAGUAACAGGCACUUGACAUUUUUAAAAUGUAAUCAAGCGUCAACGAGCACAAAGCGCACGCUGCCACUGACACAUUGCCUGACAUACAUUUAGGCGCACAUACAAGCGUUUGCUUUCACGCUUUUUGCCGCGCGUCCAUUUGCGCAUUUUACGAGCGUUUGCCAUAAGCAAAUUAACAACAACAAAGCCUAAGUAGGUGUGGAAGAGGUUGAAAAUGAAGAAAGCGGAAAUGAGCAAGCAGAAGGAAUAGUAGUAGAAUUCGAAGAAACAGCAGAAUAAAAAACACAACAACAAGUAGCGUGUACGGAUAACAAGAAAGCGCACAGCUGCCGCAUAACAGGCAUGAAAACGGCACGAGGAAAUAAAAUUUGAAUAGACAACAGCCAAGUGGACGUGAGUGCGCGCCUAAAAGCAGACGACGACUGCUGCGAAGCAGCACUUUCCCAGGCGACCUAAUUCAAUCGCUGGCGCGUUGUAUAGCUGGACGUGAAGGUGACAAGACGAAAGCGAAAAAAUAGAAAAGAUACCAACAACAACAACAAAAUUAAGCUUACACAAAAGAGUAAAGAGCGAGCUGAAAUGCAAAUGUAAACAAGUUGAUGCGCAAAUGCCUGUCAGCUGGAAUUUUUGCAAAUAAAUAGCGACGUUAAAUAUCCCAACUACAACAACAACAAAAUUAUUUAUAAUUUGAAAGCACAAAUUUAUCUACUUUACCGCGCUUUCGCAGCGAAAGAGUGGAACGUGACACAAUUUACAGCGGACAACGCGCUGGGUAUUUCAACAAGCUACGCGCCGGAAUUUCCUGCAUACCUGCCACCAAAAAAAAACGUUAUUACAGCAAAUGAAGGGUGAAAAAAGCAUAGAAAAUAGUCUGCAAUAAAAUGUGCCAAAAGUAAAUGCGAGUGAAAAAAGUUAUUUGUGUAUUUUAAUGAUUGUGUCAAUAACUUGGUGAAUAUUUGUUGCAUAAAUUUAGGAGCGCGCAUAAAAAACGUGACACGACAAGAGGAGUGGCGGGCAAUGAGAGCAUUUUUUGAAGUGUAGCAUACUUUUGCGCUGAUUUAAAAUAACGCGUUAAUAAAGAAACAUAUUUUAAGGCGUUUAAGUUACGCGUUGACAACAAGAAAAUUAAAAAAAUUAAAAAAAAAUUAAAAAAGAAUCAAAAACAAAAAUAAAAAAAGAUAAAAAUUAAAAAAAUAAACAAAGCGAAGCAUACAUUUAAGCGCAAAAGCUUAAAAUAUAUGUAUAUGUCAGAUACUUUAUAGUGAAGCCAAAAGCUAGAUAAAAUUACAGUGCAGCAUACAUUUAGGAGCUAAAGCAAAUUUCAACAGUGAAGAGAGCACACUAAGCACUGCUUAACAAAAAUUUAGCAUAACCUUAGGCAUGACAUGAUUAAAAAUAUUAAAAGUACAAGCAAAUACAAGUGCUAAGCUAUAUCUUAGAAAAAAAUUAAAAAAAAAAAAAACAAAUAUAAAAGAUCUCAUCAAAAA